CAUCGAUGUGACUUAGUAGCUGA
rnacentral:piRNA from 1 species